UCCUGGCUCAGGAUGAACGCUAGCUACAGGCUUAACACAUGCAAGUCGAGGGGCAGCGGGAUUGAAGCUUGCUUCAAUUGCCGGCGACCGGCGCACGGGUGAGUAACGCGUAUCCAACCUUCCGUACACUCAGGGAUAGCCUUUCGAAAGAAAGAUUAAUACCCUGAUGGUAUGAUGAGAUUGCAUGAUAGCAUCAUUAAAGAUUUAUCGGUGUACGAUGGGGAUGCGUUCCAUUAGGUAGUAGGCGGGGUAACGGCCCACCUAGCCGACGAUGGAUAGGGGUUCUGAGAGGAAGGUCCCCCACAUUGGAACUGAGACACGGUCCAAACUCCUACGGGAGGCAGCAGUGAGGAAUAUUGGUCAAUGGACGAGAGUCUGAACCAGCCAAGUAGCGUGAAGGAUGAAGGUCCUACGGAUUGUAAACUUCUUUAUAAGGGAAUAAACCCUCCCACGUGUGGGAGCUUGUAUGUACCUUAUGAAUAAGCAUCGGCUAACUCCGUG
rnacentral:rRNA from 1 species